rnacentral:rRNA from 1 species
UACGGAGGAUGCAAGCGUUAUCCGGAAUGAUUGGGCGUAAAGCGUCCGCAGGUGGCUAUGUAAGUCUGCUGUUAAAGAGUGAGGCUCAACCUCAUAAGAGCAGUGGAAACUACAUGGCUAGAGUGCGUUCGGGGCAGAGGGAAUUCCUGGUGUAGCGGUGAAAUGCGUAGAUAUCUGGAGGAAUACCGGUGGCGAAGGCGGCAUCCUGGACCGACAUGACGCUGAGGAGCGAAAGCUAGGGGAGCGAACGGG